UUCCUGGCCUGGGGAGCCCUGCUACUGGCUGCCAUCCUUCAAGGCUCUGCUCGAAUGCCACCUCCUCCUUGAAGCCUUCUUGGAUUCAUCCUUGGCUCCCAGGAUCAAGAGGAGCCACUGGGGAGCCUGGCUUCUUCUCCUCCCGACAGACCUGGGCUGGCCGGGAACUCGAGGCCGUGUCCAGGCUGGUCCUCACACCGGCUGAGUGCCUAAGGGAGGGCCUGCCUGGGGUGUCCACUCUCGCCCACUGGCCUCCGUGGUUUCCGCGGGGCUGGGCGUUGCUGUCCGGAGCUUGACGAGCACUGGCUAUUUUAGUGCCUCCCGUGACCCAGCUCAUUUCUGCCACACCCUUUGGUGUCGGUGCUGACACCCCGUCUCCUCCUGCAGGUGGGUUAGCUCUCUCCCCACGGGCCGGGCGGCAGGCAGGACAGGUGUGUGGGCUGCUCCCGCCUCAAACCCAGAGGCAGCAACGGGUGACCAGGGGAUCAGAGCUGAGAGGGCGGGGGUCUCGGGGGGAACCUUCAGAAGAGUGAUCCUGGCUGCCUCGGCCAGGCCCCUGGGCACUGCUUCCCUUGGGUCUGGAAGACGCAGGGUGCCCACUUCUCAGGCCGUGUGGUUUGUAGGCCCCUGAACUGCUCCUGAGAGGCCAAGGGGGUGCCCGGUGCUGGGGUCCCCCCACGUGCCGGUGCCAGUGGGCACCUCUGAGUCAAGGAGGGCCCUGGUGAUCCCCAAUUCCGGGUGGAGUAGGGCUGGUCGGAGUCACCAGUGGAUGUUGUGGAAACGACGGCGGGGACUUCCCAGGAUAGGCCGUCGGGACGCCGCGGCUCCACCGGCCCUGGCCACUCGCUCUGGAGGAAGCAGAACUGAGGCCACCAGCCCACAGCCACGGAGGAGCCCCCACUUCCCGUCAGGCUGACAGACAGAGCCACCAGCCGAGCUGCUCUGAGACCCAGACCUACGGGAGGGCCAGCUCCUCUCCCGGGGCCGUGCUUUCACUCUCUCAGUCUUGGAGUCACUUGCUCCGUGGGAAUAGGGAGCUACAGCAGAUGUUAUCCUCCCGGGAAACUGAGGCCCGGGGGUGACAUGACUUACACACCGAACACGCUCAGAAGAAUCGGGGCCCGGAUUCGGGCUGGGUCCCUAGGUGCUGAGCUGCCCUCACACAGGACCCUGCAGCCGCGCUGGAGUUCCGGGGUCCUUGUCAGACACUGGGUGACGUCUGGAGGCCUCUCCCUGGCCACGUCGGGCCCAGCGGCCUGGUCUCGUGUCCGAAGGCCAUGCAGCUCCCCGCAUGUGUGUGGAAGAGCUGUGCGGGUCAGGAGGCCAGGCCGCCUUUGGAAAGCGGGUGGUCCUGAGUCCCGGGAUCUCUCAGGAGACAGAGUGGGGCUGGGCCGGGCCAGACCCCGAGGUCUGCGGAUGGAAAGUGUUUCUGGGCUCCAAAGGCUGCCUCUCUCCAUGGCAUGCAUCUGCCUCUGCCCAUAUCAGCUUUGCCAGAGGGAGCCUGGUGGGGAGGACAGACUUACUUAUACCCUGUUAUCUGUGGCAGAGCCGUGUCCCCAUCGCCAAGGGCUGGACUCAACCCGGAGCCUGACCCAGCACUGAGUUCUGCAUGAGGGUGGGCACUGCUUAAGCAUCUCCUGGUGGGCUUCUCCGUCCCGGAGCUUAUUAGGGUAACUUUGGAGCAGAAAUGACCUGGGCGGAUUCACGUCUGAAAGGAUCACUAAUUAGCUGUGCAGACUGGGGGCGCUGGAGGAGGUGGGAGGGUGCACAGGAUAAAGGGCAGGGGUGGGGCUGGGGCCAGCUCAGUGGCAUGGACUGGGGACUGGUCAGGUUUCAGAGACGUUUUGAGGGUUGAGUUGACAAGGUUUCCUACCAGCUCAGACGAUCCGUGCGAGAGAGAGCUCCCGGUCGGCUCUGAGACUCCUGGUCCCAGCAGCGGGGGGGAUGGUACCCCCGGGAACCCAGAGGUGGGUCUGGGGGUUUGUCUUGGUUGGGUCAAGAUUGACUCGUCUGUGGGGCUUCCAAGGGGAGGAGGUGCUGGACUGAAGGGCCCUGGUGUUCAGGAGGGGCCUCUGGGCUGGAGAUCCUGCUGUGGAAGGGUCAGCGUGGAGGCAGCGUGUCAGCCUGUCAGGCUGGGGGGGCUGCCCAAGGUGGGGCGGGACAGGAAAGGCCCUGGACCCACCAGUGUGCAGAGGUCGAGACUGGGCCUCUAGGGAGGACACUGCCCCCAGGACCGGCCUGGGGAAGGGGGCUCCCGUCCAGGGUAAGUGGGAGCUGGUGUCCCGGGUGCAAAGGGACCCUGUGGGGCUGCCGCUGUCCCCAGACCCAACAGGUGUGGCCCUGCUGCCCGCGGCUGCCCCGCCCAGGGCUUCUGUUGCAGGGCUGUCGGGGCACGGGGGUGGGGGGUGCUCUGUGCUGCUCACUGAGCGCCUGCUGUAUACCAAGCGUGGCGUCUAUGCAAACAGCACCCUGUGCAACCCUCUCCAUCACUGGCGGUGGGACACCGGCUGCGUUCGGCCACACGCCCAGCUCCGUGCUGAAGACGUCUCGGGCAUCACCUUUAACAUCUCGAAUCUACUUCUGCUGUAUUACCCACUCUGUCUUUGAGGCCAACAAGGCUCAGAGAGGGGAAGCACUUGCCAAACGUUGCACAGCCGACAGGGGUGGAGCUGUCCUCGAACCUAGGACUGGCUCCCCGGGCCCUGGGCCUGGGCUCUGUCCUGCCUACGAUGUGACUGCCCCCGAGGCCCCACGGCGGGGGGCGCGUGGAGGUGUCCAGAGGCUGCGGGGCCUCCUCCACAGCCCAGGGGUGCCCGCAGGUCACAGCAGGACAAGGAUACGACUAUCUGGCGUACUUUGCUCUCUCCUGUUGAGAAAAACAGCUGCAGACGAAGAGGCCUCCUCCAGCCGUCUCAGGCCGGGCCCCAGCCACCUCCCCGCAAAAGGGCAGCCGCACGUCCAAAGGGAGAAGGAGGUAGCCGGCAUCACUCUGAGCAGAGGCUGACGGAGGAGCGCCUUCUCGCAGCCACAGAUCGUGCACAAGACUUGGAGGGGGGGCCUCCUCCGUUCUCGCUGCCUCCUUCCUUGCCACCCUAUUUCCCCCUCCCCCUCUCCUUCCUUCUCUCCUGCUGCCCUCUCUGCCCCCUCUCUCCCCGUCCCCUCCUCCCCUGCCCCCACGUCUUGGCCUCCCCUCUCCUCCCCAGGCCUCCUGGCCUCAGGGAAGCCACCUUCCACGCCCCCAGUUGCUUCCCCUGGGGCGUGCCCAGGGGGCCAGGCCUGCGCGUGGAAGCCUCUUUCACAAGAAAGUCCUUUGCCCCAGACCUCACUUGGCCCCGGAGGGCAGGGAUGUCCCUCCCGGCUGCCCCAGCCAGAGGACACCUGCCCCCAGGAGGACUCGUUGAGCCACCUCGGCCCAGACCAGCCCCGUCCAGCCCCGUCCCUCCCCCAGAGGCCAGCCCACCAGGCCAAGGGCGCUGCCGCAAGGCAGCCCUUCCCUCCCACGCCAGGCCGGUGGGAACGCGGCCAGGCUGACGGCACGGCCGCAGGAGAAGAGGCCACGAUGCUCUCGGGGUCUUUACGUCACUUCUGCAUUUUCUUUCCACAACAGCCCUGGAACCGAAGUAUCAUCGUCCUGUUUUCCCCGAUGGGGAAACUGAGGCUUGGAGCUGUGAUAUGAUUUGCCCCGUCACAGGAAGCGACUGAGUUUCUUAGACAAGAAUAUUAAUCAUCGCAGGCCUGGAUGUUGGAUGAAAAGAUGCCAGACAAGCAGCCCUGCCCCCCGCCAACCUCAUGGACCAUGCUGCAUCUCUGCUAACGCUUAGAAAAUCAGGGCGCCAGGAAUCCCACUACUGGGCAUAUACCCUGAGAAAACCAUAAUUCAAAAGGAGUCAUGCACCACAAUGUUCAUUGCAGCUCUAUUUACAAUAGCCAGGACAUGGAAGCAACCAAAGUGUCCAUCGACAGAUGAAUGGAUGAAGAAGAUGUGGCACAUGUAUACAGUGGAAUAUUACUCAGCCAUAAAAAGAAACGAAAUUGAGAUAUUUGUAGUGAGGUGGAUGGACCUAGAGUCUGUCAUACAGAGUGAAGUAAGUCAGAAAGAGAAAAACAAAUACGGUAUGCUAACACAUAUAUAUGGAAUCUAAAAAAACAAAAAAAGGUUCUGAAGGACCUAGGGGCAGGACAGGAAUAAAGACGCAGAUGCAGAGAAUGGACUUGAGGACACGGGGAGGGGGAAGGGUAAGCUGGGACGAAGUGAGAGAGUGGCAUGGACAUACCUACACUACCAAAUGUAAAAUCGAUAGCUAGCGGGAAGCAGCCGCAUAGCACAGGGAGAUCAGCUCGGUGCU